rnacentral:misc_RNA from 1 species
AUGAAACUUCAAAGUCGGCCGACAGUUGUUGCUGGUGAUUCACUUCACAUGUGCACACUGACGGUCGCAAUCCACACACACCUGUGCAUCUAUGACUCGAGGUUGUAAUGACUGAGAGUAACUUUUACACACUCUUGUAUGUAAUGGAAUGUCUUUUGUGCUAUAAUGUACAAUAUAAA